AUCUUAUCCUCUCUCUCGCCCCGCCCUCACACAGCAGGCGCUGUCCCCCACAGCCCCACUCCACGCGCCACUUCCGCCAUCUCCCUUAAUUUUGCUCUCUCGCCGCUGCCACGCUCCGCCGUCACGCAGCAGGCGCCGUACCCCCCCCCCCCCCCCCCCCCCCCCUGCUCCAUUCCACGAGCCACUUCGAAAGGACGGAGCACCAUGGCUCCAGUUGGUUGGACAGUGGGAGCAAGCAGACAACAACUAACCGCGAUUCAUCCUAUCGUCUGUAAGCGGAAGGUGUUUAAAGAUACCCUUCCUCAGAUCACGUACGGUGCGGGAAACUUACGGCACUAGGUCAAGAAUGGGUGCCGCUAGAGGAACAUGAAGGAUGAAGCGGUGAGUUUGGAGAGGUUUAGGUCGUCGUCUCCCAGUCAACUAUAAUGGUGGAGGAUCAUUGUCGUCAUAUGAUAUAUUUUAUUUAGUUAUUUUGUACAUAACUUUUAUUAUAUAAUAAAGAUGCGACAUCGAUUUUUGUAUCAUGAGUCAUUAUAUGUGUGAGACUUGAUCCUAGCAUACAUUUAAGAUGCGCUCGGUUGUUACCUUAAAUCCGGGUGUGACAUGAGAUGAGAGGCCAACUUGCCGAGGUCCAAGCAUUAAUGAAAUAUGCAAAGGAAAAGAUCAAACAAAGCUUUGUUGUCCAAAGCAAGAAGAGUUUGCUCGAGCAUCAUGACUAUACUUGAACGACAUUGGGAAAACAAAUGGAUCAUCCAUUGUAUGGGGUUGUAAUGUAUUUGAACCCAGGAAAGUUACAUCUUCUCAUAUGAAAUGAUGAUGAUGUUAUUGUUGGACAGCUAAGAGGUUGCUUUCUAGAUGUGCUUGCAAGAAUGGUACAUGAUGAGGAAACAAGAGACAAGAUCAAUUCUCAAGCAUUGGAUUAUGAGUAUCUAAGAGGAGUAGUUUUUUCAAAUAAGAUGGCCAAAAAUAACCUUCGAACUAUGACCCCUCGAAAGUGUUGUUGACUGUUGUUGUAAUUCCAGCAAGUUUAUUGAUGUAGUGCUGCAAUAAUUACAUCAAGUUGGUUGUUGUAGU